rnacentral:rRNA from 1 species
CCUACGGGAGGCUGCAGUGGGGAAUAUUGUACAAUGGGGGAAACCCUGAUGCAGCGACGCCGCGUGAGUGAAGAAGUAUUUCGGUAUGUAAAGCUCUAUCAGCAGGGAAGAAAAUGACGGUACCUGACUAAGAAGCCCCGGCUAACUACGUGCCAGCAGCCGCGGUAAUACGUAGGGGGCAAGCGUUAUCCGGAUUUACUGGGUGUACAGGGAGCGUAGACGGCCAGACAAGUCAGAAGUGAAAGCCCAGGACUCAACCCUGGGACUGCUUUUGAAACUGCCGGGCUGGAGUGCAGGAGAGGUAAGCGGAAUUCCUAGUGUAGCGGUGAAAUGCGUAGAUAUUAGGAGGAACACCAGUGGCGAAGGCGGCUUACUGGACUGUAACUGACGUUGAGGCUCGAAAGCGUGGGGAGCAAACAGGAUUAGAUACCCCAGUAGUC